GUUAGGAAUAUUGGACAAUGGGCGCAAGCCUGAUCCAGCCAUGCCGCGUGAACGAUGAAGGCCUUCGGGUUGUAAAGUUCUUUAGCCGAUGAUUAUAAUGACUGUAGUCGGAAAAUAAGCCCCGGCUAACUUCGUGCCAGCAGCCGCGGUAAUACGAAGGGGGCGAGCGUUAUUCGGAAUCACUGGGCGUAAAGCGUGCGUAGGCGGUCUCGUAAGUUAGGAGUGAAAGCCCAGGGCUCAACCUUGGAAUUGCUCUUAAUACUGCAAGGCUAGAAUCUCGGAGAGGAUAGCGGAAUUUCCAGUGUAGCAGUGAAAUGCGUAGAUAUUGGAAGGAACACCAGUGGCGUAAGCGGCUAUCUGGACGAGUAUUGACGCUGAGGCACGAAAGCGUGGGGAUCAAACAGGAUUAGAAACCCUAGUAGUCC
rnacentral:rRNA from 1 species